rnacentral:rRNA from 1 species
UACGGGAGGCAGCAGUGGGGAAUAUUGCACAAUGGGCGCAAGCCUGAUGCAGCCAUGCCGCGUGUAUGAAGAAGGCCUUCGGGUUGUAAAGUACUUUCAGUCGUGAGGAAGGUGUUAAGGUUAAUAACCUUAGCAAUUGACGUUAGCGACAGAAGAAGCACCAGCUAACUCCGUGCCAGCAGCCGCGGUAAUACGGAGGGUGCGAGCGUUAAUCGGAAUUACUGGGCGUAAAGGGCACGCAGGCGGUUAAUUAAGUUGGAUGUGAAAUCCCCGGGCUUAACCUGGGAAUGGCAUUCAAGACUGGUUAGCUAGAGUCUUGUAGAGGGGGUAGAAUUCCAUGUGUAGCGGUGAAAUGCGUAGAGAUGUGGAGGAAUACCGGUGGCGAAGGCGGCCCCUGGGACAAAGACUGACGCUCAUGUGCGAAAGCGUGGGGAGCAAACAGGAUUAGAUACC